AGAGUUUGAUCCUGGCUCAGGAUGAACGCUGGCGGCAUGCCUAAUACAUGCAAGUCGAACGAGAGACCUUCGGGUCUCUAGUGGCGAACGGGUGAGUAACACGUAGGGAACCUGCCCGCGCACCGGGAAUACGCUCUGGAAACGGAGAACAAAUCCCGAUGUACAGGAAGGAGGCAUCUUCUUUCUGUGAAACAUCCUUUCGGGGAUGGGGCGCGGAUGGACCUGCGGUGCAUUAGUUGGUUGGCGGGGUAAAGGCCCACCAAGACGAUGAUGCAUAGCCGGCCUGAGAGGGCGGACGGCCACAUUGGGACUGAGACACGGCCCAGACUCCUGCGGGAGGCAGCAGUAGGGAAUUUUCGUCAAUGGGCGCAAGCCUGAACGAGCGAUGCCGCGUGAGUGAAGAAGGCCUUCGGGUCGUAAAGCUCUGUUGCGGGGGAAAAAAGGCAGCAUCAGGAAAUGGGUGCUGACUGAUGGUGCCCCGCCAGAAAGUCACGGCUAACUACGUGCCAGCAGCCGCGGUAAUACGUAGGUGGCGAGCGUUAUCCGGAAUGAUUGGGCGUAAAGGGUGCGCAGGCGGUCCUGCAAGUCUGGAGUGAAACGCAUGAGCUCAACUCAUGCAUGGCUUUGGAAACUGGAGGACUGGAGAGCAGGAGAGGGCGGUGGAACUCCAUGUGUAGCGGUAAAAUGCGUAGAUAUAUGGAAGAACACCAGUGGCGAAGGCGGCCGCCUGGCCUGUUGCUGACGCUGAGGCACGAAAGCGUGGGGAGCAAAUAGGAUUAGAUACCCUAGUAGUCCACGCCGUAAACGAUGAGGACCAAGUGUUGGGGGUGAAACCUCAGUGCUGAAGUUAACGCAGUGAGUCCUCCGCCUGGGGAGUAUGCACGCAAGUGUGAAACUCAAAGGAAUUGACGGGGGCCCGCACAAGCGGUGGAGUAUGUGGUUUAAUUCGAAGCAACGCGAAGAACCUUACCAGGGCUUGACAUCCCGAUGACCGCUCUAGAGAUACAGUUUUCUCUUCGGAGACAUCGGUGACAGGUGGUGCAUGGUUGUCGUCAGCUCGUGUCGUGAGAUGUUGGGUUAAGUCC
rnacentral:rRNA from 1 species